CCUACGGGAGGCAGCAGUGAGGAAUAUUGGUCAAUGGACGAGAGUCUGAACCAGCCAAGUAGCGUGAAGGAUGACUGCCCUAUGGGUUGUAAACUUCUUUUAUAUGGGAAUAAAAUGUUCCACGUGUGGGAUUUUGUAUGUACCAUAUGAAUAAGGAUCGGCUAACUCCGUGCAAGUAGCCGCGGUAAUACGGAGGAUCCGAGCGUAAUCCGGAUUUUUUGGGUUUAAAGGGAGCGUAGGUGGAUUGUUAAGUAAGUUGUGAAAGUUUGCGGCUCAACCGUAAAAUUGCAGUUGAAACUGGCAGUCUUGAGUACAGUAGAGGUGGGCGGAAUUCGUGGUGUAGCGGUGAAAUGCUUAGAUAUCACGAAGAACUCCGAUUGCGAAGGCAGUUCACUGGACUGCAACUGACACUGAGGCUCGAAAGUGUGGGUAUCAAACAGGAUUAGAUACCCUGGUAGUC
rnacentral:rRNA from 1 species